GCGUGAUUACGGUACAUCAUUUUUUUUUAAAGUCUUUUAUUUCGUUCAUAAAGGUUAAAAAAGAAAGAAGUACACAUUUUUAUCCAUAAAAUGUGUACACGUAGAAAACUGAGAAGCGAAAGUAGAUCGAGAUCGAGAAAAUCUGAUGAGUCUACCUGUCUUCACAGUAGAAACAAUCUAGAUCUAUAGAUCUACAUUCAAUGAUUGUGUUUGAAAAUGAAAACAAUUGUUACAGAGUUAAUGUCAUUAGGCUUACCAACAUCUUCAAAAGUUUAACAGUAGUAUAAUGCUGUAUUGGUGAUUCAGAUCUAGAGUCUUGAUCUACUUGUACAAAGUUCCAAAGAUUUGCAAUUGAAGAUCUUGAGAAGAGUGUAGCAAAAUGUGAAGAACGUUUGGAUGUCAUUGAGAGAUUACAAAGGUUGACUAUGAUGACACAUGAGGAAAGAUCUGAGUUGAAACAAGAAAAGAAGUUAUUGGAGCAAACAUUAGUUGACAAUAGAAAACAAUUAAAAAGUUUACGCUGGGAAAAUGGUAAAAGUAUGAUCAUAUCAGUUAUGAUACUUGGAGUAUUGUAUGCAGGUUGGAUGAUGUACAGUUGACAGCUGGUUGUGACCUACAUCUGAUAGAAAGACUAGCCCCCUGACCAGUGAUGUUAUCUAAAUCUGUUCAUGUUAUAUGUAUAUAAUAGACCUUAUUAUCUACUUGGAACUACAUAAUUUAAAAUAAAUUAUGUCUUGAAAUUA